rnacentral:rRNA from 1 species
AUGCCGCCGGUGAAGACGGGGCUGUUCAUGGGGAUCAAUAAGGGGCACGUUGUCACCAAGCUCGAGCUCCCGCCCCGCCCGUCCGACCGCAAAGGAAUGAGUAUUCUGCUUCCGGAAUCUGAUCAGUUCUUAUGUUCAAGCUGCUUCCUUCUCUACAUUAGGCGUGUGAAAAUUGAAACACAGGUGGUAGCUUUCUUAUUUCAGAAAAUUACCAAGAGGGUCCUUUUUAUUCGGAACAUGAUCACGGAAGUUGCUGGAUUUGCACCAUAUGAGAAGCGUGUCACCGAGAUUCUGAAGGUUGGAAAAGAUAAACCUGCACUCAAGGUAGCCAAGAGAAAGCUAGGCACACACAAGAGAGCCAAGAAGAAGCGUGAGGAGAUGUCUGGUGUUCUUAGGAAGAUGAGAGCUGCUGGAACCUCCGAGAGGAAGAAGUGA